CCUACGGGGGGCUGCAGUGGGGAAUAUUGGACAAUGGGCGAAAGCCUGAUCCAGCCAUGCCGCGUGUGUGAAGAAGGCCUUCGGGUUGUAAAGCACUUUCAGUGGGGAAGAAAGCCUUGGGGCUAAUAUCCUCGAGGAAGGACAUCACCCACAGAAGAAGCACCGGCUAACUCCGUGCCAGCAGCCGCGGUAAUACGGAGGGUGCGAGCGUUAAUCGGAAUUACUGGGCGUAAAGCGCGCGUAGGCGGUCUGAUAAGCCGGUUGUGAAAGCCCCGGGCUCAACCUGGGAACGGCAUCCGGAACUGUCAGGCUAGAGUGCAGGAGAGGAAGGUAGAAUUCCCGGUGUAGCGGUGAAAUGCGUAGAGAUCGGGAGGAAUACCAGUGGCGAAGGCGGCCUUCUGGACUGACACUGACGCUGAGGUGCGAAAGCGUGGGUAGCAAACAGGAUUAGAUACCCGAGUAGUC
rnacentral:rRNA from 1 species